GUAGCCGCCUUGUGUAAGGAGGUUCCCAUUUCUAGUCAAGUGCUCAGACUUCUUAAUGGCUUUUGUCCACUUCGAGUGACCUUCGGAUUCUUGUAGCUGCAUCGCUGUGCUUAACACUUGGCUGUGCCUCAGAGCUGCAGCACUCGGCUAUAACAUUGAACUGUAACAGUUGGCUAUCGCACUGAACUGUUCCGCUUUGCCACGACAAUAGGAAUCACACGUGGCUUAACUGACUACACAGGGCUGGCGGUAAUAAAACAAACGAACAAACAACAGCGAACUGAUAUCAAAGAAAAUGAACUAGGGAAUCUAAGCAAUCCAGCAGGGUUGACACUGGCGGUUUGAGGUAAGAAUGAAAAGCUGAGGCAGAAAUCCACUGUGAAGUAUUAAUUUGUCCAUGAUCCAGUUAAUGAAUGUCUUGAGGAGAUUAGGUUCGGAAUACUGUACUGAGAGAUUUCAAAUAGAGAUGCCUUGUGAAAGGUAAGGAUAGGGCA
rnacentral:lncRNA from 1 species